GAAGCUCGAUGACAUUUCGCCGCGAUUCGCCGAAGCGGUUUUGGGAUGGUUGUGUGAGUGCAAAGUGUCAAAAUCUCGUCACAACUCAGGACCUCUCAGGACGGUGAAGGAUCCGGGCAUUCCGGGUUAUCUUUGGUCCGUUUCUUGCGUAAAAAUGUGGUCCUUCACCAAAAAUCCUCUUCCCGAGCCGUAGCAGAUUCUUCAAGGCAAGCUCCCCCACUGGAGGCAGCAGAAGCAGCCGCUGCUGUUAAACUAACCGUACCUCGACACGUACAAUUUUCUUGAAGUGGUUGCACUUUUUCUUUUCUCCAGCUGGAGGGGGAAGGCGACGCGGACUUUUCUUUGGGCAAAAUUUUUCCUGCUGCUUCUUAUGAGAGAGCUGCCCCCAGUAUGACGAAAAGGAAACUACCUCCAGUUGAUUUGGAAUCGGCAAGUGUCCGGUAGCUGGUGGCGGCCGCUACCUAUCAGAAAUAAGGCCACGCUCCAGCACCACGAUGACCAGCACCGCAGUUGGUUGA